rnacentral:rRNA from 1 species
UACGGAGGGUGCGAGCGUUGUCCGGAAUCAUUGGGCGUAAAGGGCGCGUAGGUGGCGGGACAAGCGUGCGGUGAAAGCCUGGGGCUCAACCCCGGGUCGGCCGUGCGAACUGUUUUGCUUGAGCACUGUAGAGGCAGGCGGAAUUCCGGGUGUAGCGGUGGAAUGCGUAGAGAUCCGGAAGAACACCGGUGGCGAAGGCGGCCUGCUGGGCAGUUACUGACACUGAGGCGCGACAGCGUGGGGAGCAAACAGG